GUGUGCGAUCCUUUCAGCACAAAUUCACGGGAUUCCAUCAGAACUCUGAUGUUAAGCGUGCUUGGGCGAGAAUUGUUCUAUGAUGGGCUUGUCUUAUGACUUUCAUAGAUUCAGGCU
rfam:Cephalotus follicularis DNA, scaffold: scaffold1392, isolate: St1.